AAUUUUUACCACAGAUAGCAUGAAAUGCUAUACAAGCAAUCUGUCACAUUAAUGCUCUCCGUUUUCAAAAAAUCGAUUUUAGUUGGUGAAAGCAGCUAAUUUAUAUCUGUGUCUUGUCGCGAAAAAUUUGGUUCCAUCAUUGAUUAGGAUUUAACCAUGAAAUUUCUUCAAAAUCUUCUCAAAGACAAAUGGAACAUUGUUUCCAGAAAUAGAUGCAAGUAUUCAGAAAAGAUUUACGUGUGAGAUGGGUGGAGUUCGGUUCUGUUUAGCUCAUUGCCUGGCUCUUGGUUACAGGGGUGCUUGGUGU